rnacentral:sRNA from 1 species
GCUGGGUAUGGUGGCUGUGCCUGUAUUCCUAACCACUUCAGGAGGCUGAGGCAGCAGGAUCAUUUGAGCCCACGAAUUUGAGGCCAACCUGGGCACUAUAGUGAGAGCUCAU